AGUGAACGCUGGCGGUAGGCCUAACACAUGCAAGUCGAACGGCAGCACAGUAAGAGCUUGCUCUUACGGGUGGCGAGUGGCGGACGGGUGAGGAAUACAUCGGAAUCUACUUUUUCGUGGGGGAUACCGUAGGGAAACUUACGCUAAUACCGCAUACGACCUACGGGUGAAAGCAGGGGAUCUUCGGACCUUGCGCGAUUGAAUGAGCCGAUGUCGGAUUAGCUAGUUGGCGGGGUAAAGGCCCACCAAGGCGACGAUCCGUAGCUGGUCUGAGAGGAUGAUCAGCCACACUGGAACUGAAACACGGUCCAGACUCCUACGGGAGGCAGCAGUGGGGAAUAUUGGACAAUGGGCGCAAGCCUGAUCCAGCCAUACCGCGUGGGUGAAGAAGGCCUUCGGGUUGUAAAGCCCUUUUGUUGGGAAAGAAAAGCAGCAGGUUAAUACCCCGCUGUUCUGACGGUACCCAAAGAAUAAGCACCGGCUAACUUCGUG
rnacentral:rRNA from 1 species